rnacentral:lncRNA from 1 species
GUUGUCUUGGAGCUCCUGUGAUGUCACCAGUUGUUGAAAUCAUCCCUGACUUAUUCAGAGACAUGGGCUAGAAACUUCAGUCCAGUCUUGUGUCUGCCAGGGGUCAAAGCUUGGGCACUGAGCAGGCCCAAAGUGAGGCUCGUUUCCCCGACUUACCAGCUAAGGGGGUAAUGUCACCAAGAGCCUGAGCCCUGGGGCCUAAAAGCUGCCUUAUAUCUGUACAUCAUUCACUCACGCCUCUAAGCUGCUGCUUCAAGACCAAUCGAGUGAAUAUUUGAAUACCAUUCUCACACUGCACUACAACCAGCAACCAUGGUGAAUUACCUUCCUGUUCCUGUGGUCCGUUUCUUCAUCUUGCGGCGUUCCAGCCAGUCAGGCCAGGGACUGAUUCUCAUCGUGAGCAGGAAAGUAGUCCCUACCCAGCAGGCCCUGUGGCGAAUGCUGCGUAUGGCAAGAUCUCGUUACCAAAGCUUUGUUCCACCCUUCCCCUGGGCCCGUGGUUACACCUUGAGGCUACUAAGACAUCCAAGGCCACUUAUUAUGGCCUUGUCAUCUUCCAGCAGGAAAGUAGCUAUGAGGCAUUCCUGAGGGCCAUUUUACAGCAGCUAUUUUUCACUGUGUUCCUGAGUUACCUGAACAGACUCCGCAUUGUUGUAUACCAGGGGUCAUGGACCACCAGAGGCUUUAUUCUCUUGGCAAGUGCCAGACUACGUUUGAAUUCCAGCUGCAUUACAGUCAUCUUUGAAGCCUGCAUUACCAUCCGACCCUGCAGAAGCACUCCUCUGAGACCACGCUUCUGGAGACUGGGCUCAUUCAUUUUAGAAUUUGUUAGCCUCCGCUUCUUGGCAGUUUACGUGAACACCGGAACAAGUCAAGAAUACUUGUGUCACCAUCACCAUAUUCUGUAUCUUUGCAGCUUGCCUCUUCAAUCAGAUCAGAAAAUAAAGAGGCCCAAUGUGGCACACACAGCUCAAAGAAUAUUCUUGUGGUGGUGUCAUUUCUUAAUGAGUGUAAUUUAAUACCUAACUAUCCUUUUAAUUCCAACUCAAUAUGUUUAAGGUAGGAUUAUAUAGUUAAGGUAUGGAAUGCAGCUGUGUAUUAGAGCAACAGUUGAACUAAUGAAGGGGGUGGAGUCAUAAUUGAGGCAUUCAUAUGUAUUGGCGUGUGUGUGUGUGUGUGUGUGUGUGUGUGUGUGAGAGAGAGAGAGAGAGAGAGAGAGAGAGAGAGAGAGACAGAAGAGUAUUGGAAUUAAUAUGAAUGAGAUUUUGUUGGAGAAAAAAAGAGAAUGAGGGCUUGAGGACAGAUCCUUAAGGAAAUGAUACCUACCCCUGUCCCAAAUCAAGGAAAUGAGGAACCAGUGACUAUUUAGAGGAGGUGGUCUCUCUCUACCUAGGUCUCCCCCAUAUUUAAAAUGUCUCUGUUGACUUUUACCAUCCCCUCACCCUCAGUCAAGCUGCUCUAACUAGGUAGGUUGUGGGUUUCUCUCUAUACUGUUAUCUUUUCUCCCCUUUGCAGCCCAAAUCCUUGGAAUUAGAGGUGGAAAGCAGAAACAACCUUUUAGAACUCUUUUGCCUCACCUUCUUCAUUUUCUGCUUACUAGCCAGGGGACACUUAACCUUCCUCUGAGCCUCAGACACCUUUCUUGAGACUAAAUUAUAGCCUCUGUUAUGCUUUUCCCUUGCCAUAAUGAUGAAUGCUAACUAUUCACGUUGGUGGAGCAUAAAG